rnacentral:misc_RNA from 1 species
CCGGAAAUGAAAACCAUAACCCACAUUGUCAAGGAAAAUUUCCUCAUUCUCUCCUCCAUUUCCCUUCAAUUUUGGUUGCUAAAUUCUUCGAUCAUUUUCAAGUUAUCCAAAACCACUCUCCUUUCUUCAAUGGCUUUGUCGGUAAAUGUCUCCGACGAGCCACUUACCCCCGCCGGCCGGCUAUUUCUCCAGCCGGAAAUGAAAACCAUAAUCCACUGUGCACUUGGCGUCAAACAUCACAUGGACAGAGACGCCAUAAAAUCCACCAUAAAGAACUCUUUCAUGGUGAAGCACCCAAGAUUCUGCAGUCUCCUUGUGCGCGACAAGAAUGGAUUUGAGCACUGGAGAAGAACAGAGAUUGACAUUGACCGACACAUCAUACUUGUUGACGAAACCGCCGCCACCAACGGCGGCGACGAUGUUGACAAAAUAGUGAACGACUAUAUAGCAGAUUUAUCAUCAAGUAGUCCACUUGGCUGCGACAAGCCUUUGUGGGAAAUACAUAUGAUGAUGAAGCAGAAGUGUGCUAUAUUCAGGAUUCAUCACGCUCUCGGAGAUGGGAUCUCGCUGAUGUCGAUGUUGCUGGCCAUCUGCAGGAAGGCCGAGGAUCCAGCAGCGGUGCCCACCUUGGCUAUUGGUGGCCGGAGGGAUUGGAGUGGAGAGAAAGGGAAGGAUUGGAGAGGGGCUCUGAUGGGCGUUUUGAAGAUGGUUUUGUUUAAUUUGGUUUUCUGUUUGAACUUUGUGUUGAGGUGUUUGUGUGUUCGUGACCGGAAGACGGUGAUCUCUGGCGGUGAUGGGGUGGAGCUAUGGCCGAGGAAAGUGGCUACUGCCCAUUUCUUGAUUGAGGACAUGAAAAUGGUGAAAAAGGCUG